AUUGAACGCUGGCGGCAGGCUUAACACAUGCAAGUCGAACGAGUGGCGGACGGGUGAGUAAUGUUUGGGAAUCUAGCUUAUGGCGGGGGAUAACUACGGGAAACUGUAGCUAAUACCGCGUACCAUCGGAUGCGCCCAAGUGGGAUUAGGUAGUUGGUGGGGUAAAGGCUCACCAAGCCGGCGAUCGCUAUCUGGUCUGAGAGGAUGACCAGCCACACCGGGACUGAGACACGGCCCAGACUCCGCAGGGAGGCAGCAGUGGGGAAAAUUGCGCAAUGGGGGCAACCUGACUCAGCCAAGCCGCGGGAAUGAAAAAGGCCUUCGGGUUGUAAAGUUCUUUCGGUAGCGAGGCGUUAACUACAGAAGAAGCACCGGCUAACUCCGUGCCAGCAGCCGCGGUAAUUC
rnacentral:rRNA from 1 species